CAACAAUGUUGCAUAUAAUUAAGACCUGCCUUUGUUAGAAUCUAUGGAUUGGUCAUUUGUGCUACAAAAAGAGUAACAGUGUUAUCAUCUUCAACUGUUGCUAGGAGCACACAAUUCAUGUAUUCAGUUGUCAUGGUGAUAUUAAUGUUUUUUUUUUUUUUUUUUUCUGCUGCAGCUCAUUGAUUUGUUGUUAUAAAGAGUAUUUUUGUGGCUUUUGUGUUAAACGGCAGUAAUUACAAUGGCAAGACCCUCAGGAACAGAACGAAUCGGACUGCCUGAAGAGGACAAUCAGGAUUUUCUCACCGUGGUGUGAGUGUUGAAGAGCUCCCAGAUGUGAUAAUAACAAAAGCAACUGAUGCACACAGCAAUGAGUUUACAAGACGUCUUGCUCAUAAAUGCACAUGCCGAUCUGUCCUCUCACUUGGCAGAUGCUGAAGCGUCAAGGGGGGUGAUUAUCCAUUCCAGAUGAACACACACAUACACUCGCAUGUGGCGACACAGAUGCCCUACAACGAGCAGGCAUUGUCACCACGAUCUGCCAGCCACCUUUGGCUCAGAGGAUGCCAGAAGAGCAAAUGUUAUGGUGUUUCAUGCCACUCCAGUUCCACAGGGGACAUUAAUCAUGGGGCACCCAAGGUGGACAGGAAGUGUGACUUUGCAAAAGGUGGGUUUGGGAAACAAAACAGAUGCAUCAAACACGCAAGACUAAACAUGCAUGAUGCAUAUCUUCUUAAAAUAACCAAGACCAGCACAGACUCAACCAAAACAAAAAAGAAAUAAAUAAAAAAAAGAUCUCUGAUAUGGAGAAAACAAGAUUCAGAAAGAAGUGUAGUAUACUUUUGAUUUGAUUUUAAGUGUGCUGGUACUUUUUUAUUUUAUUAUUCUAUUGUAUUGUAUUGUCUAAAAAUAUUUAUUUGUGGGGAGAAAAAGUCAAACCCUUUUCCAUAUUUACUCUACACAUUUUCAUCAGAUGAAUUUUAUCAUUGUUCAUCAUUCUGUCAUUUUCUUCUGCUAAUUUUUCUUGACAGUUGUAUUUAGACACCUUGUACACAUCUUCAAUGACAGUAUAUUCAUAUUUUAUUUAAUUAUUAUGUGUCUAAGCCAAAAUUGCAUUCAUGCCGUCUGUAAACUUUGUAAAUGUGAGACACUUUUUGUGUUUGUCACUGAUGUUUCAAUAACACAAACUGUCUGCUCUGACUAAUAGCGCCACAUCUCAGAAUCUGUUUCACUGCAAAAAUAUAAUUUAUGUGACAUUUUCCCUUCAUGAUCUGCAUCAUUGUUGAUGUCACACUUUCUCAGAGAUGACAAGUGUGUCAGUUUACUAAAUGAUGAUAAACCGUGGACCAUGGAAUGUCUUUAUAUAAAGCAAAUUAUACUUUAAACUAGACUAAUUGUAACAUACAUUCAUACAUACAUAUUUAUAUAUUUAUUUCCAAGUGAUAUAAACUGUGUUGCAUUUUUUAACAAAUGUGCAUAGACUGUCAUGCAUAAGGCCCACUAAGGCAUUCACGCAUAAGGUCAUCACUAAGAUAGGUCAUGUCAGCAACAAAUGAGUCUGUCCAUCCCAUGAGAAUACCUUCCAUCCCAGCAUCUAGCAGUCAAGCCAUGUGAGAGUGUGAAGCUUCUGUCCUGGUCUGUGUUUCUAGUGUCCAAUCAGAGUGUAGUAUGUCGAACAUCAGUCUCUGUCAGAGCAGCAUCCUUAUCGCUUAUGUCCUGUUUAAACCUACAAAAAGCUGUCUUCGAGAGAGAGAAAGCAUGUGUGAGAAAGACAGAGAGUGAAAGGUGGAGGUAGGGUAAAACAGACACAUGCCUGGAGAGGAGAGAGAAAGAGAGAAUCCAGAUAAGACUAAGAGAAAUGGAGGGAAGGGGAACGAUAACAGAACAAAUUUCAGCGCAAGCUAAAAGCAACGCUAAAGACAGAUGCUUGGGGGGACAGCAGUAUUCUUAAAGAUGAUGUGUGUCAUUUUUUUGGAUGUUAGCCUACUUUUCCCUAUCCUAGUUUAACAGGAGACAAUUACAUGCAUAAUCCAUUUGUAGGUUGACUUCCUAAAGAGCGUAAAAACUUGGACAUUAUUUAACUUGUCAGUAACCUGGAUUUAAUUUCUAUUUUGUCAUGCUGUAAGUAGCCCACCUACAGCGAAGCCUAAUUUCAGCAGAACAUAUGUACGAGUCCACACAGACCACAUAAUAUCCAUAUAUGGGUGAAUGGAAUGGAAUGGAUGGAUAAUACAUAACACUGAUGAUCAUAAAAAAAAAAAAAAUAAAAAAAAAAAUAUAUAUAUAAAGUAUAUAAAUCUACUGUAAUAUUAUUUCACAAUAUUCAUGUUUUUACUGUUUUUCUAUUUUAUCAAAUCAAUUCAGCCUUGAGUAUAAGUCGUCUCUGUAGUGUACAUACAUACACAAAUAACUCAAAUUAAAAUUUUGAAUAAAAGGUCAAUAUUAUUGCAUACAGUACUAUCACAUGCUGUUUGUGAUUGGGUGAACUCACAAAUGGGCGGGGCUUUGUAACAAAUGACCAAUAAUGGAAACAGUGAUAUACAGGUACAUGACUGACAGCACUUCUAAUUUAAAAGCACUGUUGUACACAGAGUGCUCAGAGACUGGCAGGAAGUUAAUGGAAGUCUGUCAUGACUUAUAAAUCAUAAAAUUUGGUGUUCAUAAUCUUGUUUCUUGCUUAUUGCCCUCUGCAAACAUUGUAAACUGACAGUUUUACUCAGCUUAUUCAAUUAUUUUAAUUUAAUAAUUUCAAUGUUCAGUAGAAGUUUGAGAAACAUUUAAUAGCAACAACACAGACAAAAUAGAUCCUAGUACAUUCUUGUAAUAAAUGAUAAGCGAGAUCUGUGCUUUCUAAAAAGAACACACACACACUCCUGAUUGCUGAUCAGAAGGUCAACCCUCGCUGUAAAGUGUGGUGUCACCCCAGUGUGAGGUGCUUUACGGCAGGAUGCUAUGUGCACUUAAUCUAGUUCAUGACCAAACAACUUCUCAAGGUCUCCAUAACUCCUCCUGAAGGAUCUGCAUUUAAUGCAUGGACAGCAUUCACAAUGUGUGAAUGUGACUGUGUGUGCGGAGGUCUUUCCACCUCCAGUCCUGUCAUUUUUCAUGCAAUGUUUCUGCAUUAACACACCACCGGAUACAUGCUACCUCCUUUCACCUGUCCUGCAUGGCUAGGGAUGUUGUGGGCAGGACGUGCCCCGUGUACAUGAGUAUUUAUUACCAUAGUUGCGUAUAUGCACCAGUAUAAGACCAGGAAAAUUAAGUAGAGAGGAAAAGUUGAAGCAUCUGUUCUGGUAAUUUAGUGACGGCAAUAAGAACGAUCCUUGUACCCUCACAUACCUAGGCCGUUGUUCAUAAGCCUCCUGGUGCAUUCAGGGAAAUAAUACAUGUAUAAAAUUUCUCCUAGUGGAGAUGAAGAGAGAUAUAAUAACAAAUAAGCCGCCUUCUGUUGAGAUGUAAAAAUUGGUAAAGUAGAAUUGCAUCAAGGCAGGGAAGAGCGAGUUUGUGUUGGUGCAUAUCUGGUCUAUUUCACUAGGAUGCUGUAGAUGCUUUCACUAUGCCGUAUUACCCUCUUUAUUUCUCUUAUUUAACAUUUAAACAACUUUUUACCAGUGCGAUCUGCCUGAGAAUGCAAUGUCAACAGUCACAGGUGGAGGAUGAACUGAAGUUCAGUGCUGAAGUCUAGUAGGUUGAGGUGCUUCCCAUUCAUAUAUCCACUAUGUUUGCCAAUGAUCUUAGGUCUGAUUAAAGUUUGGAUUUGAUUUGAAACUGAUCAUAUAUUAGCAGUUACCAGCGCAUCCCAAAGCAGCAACAAACCACCUAUGACAACACAGGAGCCCAAUAAUAACAAGAAAAUGAGUGAAUUAAAAAGACCUGGUGAGCAGACAGAUGGCAGCAGGUAAUACAGUCAGUAUGUUUUUAGUCUGGUCCACAAAGUCAGUUUAAAGCUAACAUCUGGUAGCAAGCCACAUAUACUCCAUUAUGACAGAAGAUAUCCUGAGAUUACGGGAGGAAUGAUGACCAUAUGUGACAUGUUUUACUGCAUACUUGUCUUAUUUGGACAUCGUUGCUCCUGCAAUCUCAGCUGAAGAGUAAAAGAAUCAACACUUUCAGCUUUCGCAAAUCAAUACUUUAGGUUCUGUGAUAUGAAGUCAUUUAUAAAAACAGUUUCAAGACUGAAUGUUGAUUGGUCAAUAAAGCAUCCGAGCCAUGCUAAAAUACACCAUAGAGUAACACAUAUGGCACAAAACAAUUUCUGCACUGUGACAUUUCCACGCCAGUUCUCAUUACUAAUGUUCCAG
ensembl:lncRNA